rnacentral:rRNA from 1 species
UCUUCCGCAAUGGACGAAAGUCUGACGGAGCAACGCCGCGUGUGUGAUGAAUGUUUUCGGAUCGUAAAACUCUGUUGUUAGGGAAGAACAAGUAUCGUUCGAAUAGGGCGGUACCUUGACGGUACCUAACCAGAAAGCCACGGCUAACUACGUGCCAGCAGCCGCGGUAAUACGUAGGUGGCAAGCGUUGUCCGGAAUUAUUGGGCGUAAAGCGCGUGCAGGCGGUUUCUGAAGUCUGAUGUGAAAUCUUGCGGCUCAACCGCAAGCGGCCAUUGGAAACUGGGUGACUUGAGUGCAGAAGAGGAGAGUGGAAUUCCACGUGUGGCGGUGAAAUGCGUAGAGAUGUGGAGGAACACCAGUGGCGAAGGAGACUCUCUGGUCUGUAACUGAUGCUGAGGCGCGAAAGCGUGGGGAGCGAACAGG